rnacentral:rRNA from 1 species
GACAGAGGCCACAAGCGUUAGGCGGAAUCACUGGGCUUAAAGCGUGUGUAGGCGGAUCGUUAAGUGCCUUGUGAAAUCCCACGGCUUAACCGUGGAAUGGCUGGGCAUACUGGCGGUCUUGAGCUGCCUAGGGGCGACUGGAACAGACGGUGGAGCGGUGAAAUGCGUAGAUAUCGUCUGGAACGCCUACGGUGAAAACAGGUCGCUGGGGGCAAGCUGACGCUGAGAAACGAAAGCCAGGGGAGCAAACGGG